UUGUAUAGUUGUAUAUAUUUUCUCCUUGCUUGGGCGUAAAUGAUGUAAAAUAUUGUAAUGUAAAAUUCUGUCUCCUUGUUUAGGAUAGCUAUGGAAAUGGAUGGAAUGCAAAUAUAUAAAGCAACAAAUGACAAUUAAUGCCCUCUUAAUGGAAAGACAGUGUUUUGUUAAGGGAAAAUUGGACUCUUAUAAAAUUAUUAAGGUUCUGGGUGAUCAUUGAUCAAUGCAAUUUGUGCUCAAAUUAUCAUAAUAUUCAUUCUAGAAGAUUUCUAACCUUUCCAAUAUCUUCCUGAAGGAACUACGUUAGACAAUUAUCAUCAGUUAAAAAUCUUAAUAAAAGAAACACACCAAAGCAAAGACUACUAUCAUCACAGAAAUCUUAGUCCAUGGUUAAUUGGUUAUCUCCUGAUUAGUAAGUGUAGAAUUAGUUUCCACAAAUGUUGGGGCCUAAUGUUUCAUAAUGGAAAUUAUGCAUAACUUGCUGCAGUGUCUUUCCAUAAUAUACCGAGCUUCAAACCAAGAGAUGUUAACUAGACACAAUAUCUUUCCAAGGCAAUUAUGGAUCACCUGAGUUCCUCGUUCUCCUUUUAAGUGAAAAAUUAUUGCAAGUUUUGAGUCUUCAAGAAAAAGAAGUGAAUCAACUAUCUUAUAAAAAGAGAGAAAAGUAUAUGAGAUUUGUGGGUAGUAGGAUUUUAUUGCAGGACUUUUCCCGACAAUAUUUGUAUGCCCUCUUAAUGGAAAAGUAUAUGCAUUAUGCUUAUUACAUGGAUUAUAAAUUUGUUGAAAUUUAAUCUUAUAUUAUGAACUCUAUAUUUGAUCAUAUAUUGAUUUAUUAAUUUAAUUCAUAGGUCAUAUAUGGCUCAUUCAACUUCAAGUUCAGGAUCUAGUAGCAGUAUUUCAUCAAAAAAUAAGGAUGAGAAAAAUAGUCCAUUAUGGAAAUAUGUGACUAGAAUGGAAAAAAUGGGAGAAGGAGGGGGUAGUUGGAAAUGGACUUGCAACUUUUGUGGUUUGCAAAAAUUUGGGACAUACACAAGAGUUAGGGCUCAUCUAUUAAGUAUCAGUGGGAAAGGAAUUGCUUAUUGUAAAAAGCUAAGUCCUGAAAUUAUAGUUGAGAUGAAAAAAGUUGAAAGAGAAGUUGAAGAAAGAUUAUCAAGUUUACAACAUAAUCAAGUGCCAUUACCAACUAGUAGUGUUUCUUUGGGGCCUUCUUUGUCCUUACAUGAACCAAGUGUUUUAGAACAUUUAAAGAAAAGAAAAUCCAUGGAUUCACCUCUUGCGAAAACUUUUGACAUGCAAACUAGAGCACAAUUAGAUGCUGAGAUUGCUAGGAUGUUUUAUACUGGGGGUUUGCCUUUUAAUCUUGCUAGAAACCCAUAUUAUCCGAGUUCUUAUUCAUUUGCUGCUAAUCAUCCAUUAAGUGGUUAUGUGCCUCCGGGUUAUAAUAAGUUAAGGACCACAUUACUUCAACAAGAAAAGGCAAAUGUUGAAAAAUUGCUAGAACCUAUUAAAAGCACUUGGUUGGGAAAAGGUGUUAGCAUUGUUACUGAUGGUUGGAGUGACCCACAAAGAAGACCCUUGAUUAAUUUUUUGGUUGUUUCUAAAAAUGGUCCAAUGUUUAUCAAAUCUGUGAAUUGUUCAGGUGAAGUAAAGGAUAAACAAUUUAUUGUUAAUUUGAUGAAAGAGGUAAUAGAUGAAGUUGGUGACCAAAAAGUUGUACAAAUUAUUAUUGAUAAUGCUGCUAAUUGCAAGGGAGCUGGGGAAAUCAUUGAGGGUAUGUUUCCACAUAUUUAUUGGACUCCUUGUAUUGUCCAUACACUUAAUCUUGCUUUGAAGAAUAUAUGUGCAUCUAGGAAUUUAGAAAGUAAUCAAGAGACAUAUGAUGAGUGUCAUUGGAUCACUGAAGUGCAUGGAGAUGCUUUGGUCAUAAAUGUUUUUAUAAUAAAUCAUUUAAUGAGAUUGGCCAUGUUCAAUCGGUUUAGUUCUUUGAAGUUGCUUGCAAUUGCUGACACUCGAUUUGCUUCUAUUGUUGUUAUGCUUAAAAGAUUUAAACUUCUUAGACGUGCACUUGAAGCAAUGGUUAUGAGUGAUGAAUGGGCACAAUAUCGAGAUGAUGACCAAGGAAAAGCUCGAUUUGUUCGUGAAUUGAUUGUGAAUGAGAAUUUUCGGGAAAAAAUUAAUUAUAUUCUCGCUUUCAGAGCACCUAUUUAUGAUAUGCUUAGAGUUUGUGAUACAAACAAACCAUGCCUUCAUUUGGUUUAUGAGAUGUGAGAUUCUAUGAUUUUCAACAUGAAAAAGGUUAUUUAUGAUCAUGAAGGCAAGCUACCAAGUGAUUUUUCAUCAUUUUUUUCAUGUCAUUCAUCGUAUUCUUCUUGCUCGUUGGACAAAACAUAGCACUCCAUUACAUUGUCUAGCUCAUUCUUUGAACCUGAGGUAUUAUAGUGAUAAAUGGCUUCAAGAAAAAGAAGGUAGAAUGCCUCCGCAUAUGGAUGGAGAUGUCUCCACACAAAGAAUGAAGUGUUUUAGGAGACUUUUUCCUAAUCCAGAUGAGCGUGCUAUUGUUGAUGAUGAGUUUGCUGAUUUUUCUCUCAAAAGUGGGCCAUUUGGAGACCCAGAUGCUAUCUUGAAUAGCUAUAAACCUAGGAAAUGGUGGGCAUGUUAUGGUUCACGUGCUCCUUUGCUUCAAAGGUUAGCUUUUAAGGUGCUUGGACAACCUACUUCUUCAUCUUGUUCUGAAAGGAAUUGGAGUACUUAUUCUUUCGGUCAUUCAUUUAGAAGGAAUAAAUUAACUCCAAAACGUGCAGAGGAUUUGGUCUUUGUUCAUAACAAUCUUCGUCUUUUAUCGAGAAACACCUCCCAAUAUUAUGACGAGAAGACAAAGAUGUGGGAUAUAGGUGGAGAUGAAUUUGGAAGUAUGGAAGAUGUGGGUAUUCUCGAAUUUGCUAAUCUCUCCUUAGAUGAACCCGAGUUGGAGUCUGUACUCUUUGACGAAGAUAUUAGCCAGUUUAUAGAGACAUAGCGUGAUGAACUGAAUGAACUUUUAUAAACUAGAUUAUGUUUGAUUCUGUUAUUUAAAUUCUAUGUUUGUUUUUAAUUACUAAGUCAUGUAAGGAUAAUAUAACUUUCUAAAUAUUGUUGAUGGUUAUUUGAAUGCAUUG